rnacentral:rRNA from 1 species
GAUGAACGCUGGCGGUAUGCUUAACACAUGCAAGUCGAACGGACUCUUCGGAGUUAGUGGCGGACGGGUGAGUAACGCGUGAGAAUCUGGCUUUGGGUUCGGGACAACCACUGGAAACGGUUGCUAAUACCGGAUGUGCCGAGAGGUAAAAGAGAAAUUGCCUGAAGAUGAGCUCGGGUCUGAUUAGCUAGUUGGUGAGGUAAAGGCUCACCAAGGCAGCGAUCAGUAGCUGGUCUGAGAGGAUGACCAGCCACACUGGGACUGCGACACCGCCCUGACAACUACGGGGGGCAGGAGUAGAGAAUUAUCCGCAAUGGGCGAAAGCCUGACGGAGCAAUACCGCGUGAGAGAAGAAGGCUCUUGGGUUGUAAACCUCUUUUCGUAGGGAAGAACAAAAUGACGGUACCUAAGGAAUCAGCAUCGGCUAACUCCGUG